GGGAGAGAGGCUUUUUGAGGGUUGUAACCAGGCAUAUAUCCUCAAGUUCGACAAAGACACAACAGUUAUGCAGUUACCUAGUGAGUCUCAACAAUCAGACGAUAAGUCAUCUAGCGAUAGAAAAGAGAAAUCCGAUGUCAAAGAAGCUGCUGAUGAAGGAAAAUUUGUCAUUUCUACCAAUGGCUCCGACAAAAUGCAGGAAGA
rnacentral:misc_RNA from 1 species